rnacentral:misc_RNA from 1 species
UAAUUAAUUGAUCUUUAAUAUAUGAAGAUUGUAUAAGGAAAUUAGGGUUCUUGUUGUUUUCAAAAUUGUCAUAAUUAAACAAAAUAAUAUGUUGGCAAGAGAUAUCGAUAUUCAGUUUGCAAUUGAUUUGAGGGUUUAAUGCAGAUCAAAAGAAACACAUAUUAAUUACAUCAUCAAAUAUCAAUCACAUAUUAACCAAUAAGGAACAAAUUAAAAAAAAAUAAUUAAGAGCUAGAAAAGCGAUAAUAAUGAAAAAAAAAAUUACCAUAUAGUAAAAUAUCCAGAAAA